rnacentral:misc_RNA from 1 species
UGCAAAUCCUCUUCUUGAUGUUCAAGACGAUAAAAUGGAUCCGCCAACUUACCCCUCUCUUCAUCUGCAGGAAGUGCAAAUGUUUCUGCAUCCUCAACAUCAAACUCCUCAGUCUUUCGUUGUUGAGCCCCACUAAUAAUCACAUAUUCACAAUUUUUCGGAUCUGUCUGAAUAACAAUUUCAUGUUUGCAGCAUGCAGAUUUCAUGGUGAAGCUCCAUAUCUUUGUAGAAUAAUAGUUCCCCACUUGCUUUUUCUCUGCAUUGAACCGAACACCCUUUGCAAUCAUAGAAUUGCAACCACCACACCAUACAUUGAAUGGCAUCUCGAACCUGAUUAUCAAAAUGCCCUGGUCUAUCUUUUUUGCUCUCUCCCUGAGAGCAUGCUGGCCAUGAAACUUGUUCAAAGAACCCUGUUUUGGAGUCCAUUCUGGGGGGUAGUAGAAAUUAUCAGCUCUUGCUGCUGCUAAUGAAGACAUUUUGUAUUCGUCUCGUUGGAAAUAGAACUAAUUUUGGGGGAAGUAUCGA